AAUCAACGCUGGCGGCGCGCUUAACACAUGCAAGUCGAGCGAGAAAGGGAGCAAUCCUGAGUAAAGCGGCGCACGGGUGAGUAACACGUGGGUAUGUACCUGUUAGUGGGGAAUAACCCUGGGAAACCGGGGCUAAUACCGCAUAAGUCCGAGAGGAGAAAGCCGAAAGGCGCUGACAGAGCAGCCCGCGGUCGAUUAGCUAGUUGGUGAGGUAAUGGCUCACCAAGGCGACGAUCGAUAGCUGGCCUGAGAGGGCACACGGCCACACUGGCACUGAAACACGGGCCAGACUCCUACGGGAGGCAGCAGUGGGGAAUCUUGCACAAUGGAGGAAACUCUGAUGCAGCGACGCCGCGUGGACGAUGAAGCCCUUCGGGGUGUAAAGUUCUUUCGACAGGGACGAUAAUGACGGUACCUGAAGAAGAAGCUGCGGCUAACUACGUGCCAGCCGCCGCCGUAACAC
rnacentral:rRNA from 1 species